AUGCCAUUGUCGGACAGGAAAUUGCGUAGGGUAGACCUACAACCGGCGGUCGAUCGCCUUGCUGGCAAGUGCUCCGGAUGGAACAUUGAUUUGAUUAACCUGAUUGGGAGAGUUGUUCGGGUACAGGUCGUGCUGUCUGCGAUGCGAACCUUUCAGAUGAUUGCAAUUCCGCAAGCAAAGUGGAUAAACCAGAAGACUGACAAGAUCCGCCGACCUUUCCUUUGGGCUGGCAAGAGUGCAGUCUCAGGCGGAAAAUGCCUGGUAAAUUGGAAGUCCAUCUGCAGACCGACCACUUAUGGAGGCCUGGGUAUCUCGAACCUCGAGUACCAUGGCGCCGCGCUGCGCACGCGCUGGCUCUGGCAACAGGCCAAGCUCCCGGACUAG
rnacentral:rRNA from 1 species